AUUCGAAAGCUAUAAUUUUUACGUAUUGAGAAUGAAAAAUAUGGGCAUAAUACCAUUUCAUAUAGAAUUUUUAAAAAAGAAAUUUGGUGUAUUUUUGGACUGGGUACAAGUAACAAUUUUUGAUGAAUUGGGAGUUGAUUUUAAAACAAUUUUCCGUUAAAUGUACCAACUACUCUAUAUGACGCAAACUUUAUUUAAUUCGUUACUUAAUAUUUGGUGUAAGGUGUUCAACAUUUAUCUUAACUUUUCUGUUGCCUGUAAUAAAAAUUCUGAUUCGCAGCAGUAUAUUAUCAGGUAGGCAAUCUAUCUACCAUUUUUACUUAAUUCCACCU